CCGAGAUUUCCUUAUUAUGGCUGCGUGCGCAUUAAACGAUUGCACACACACCAAGGCACAGAAAAGAAACGAAACGUCAAACGAAAAAAAUCAUAACAACCGUCGGAACGAUCGGAACAAUUUCGCGGAUCGGAGUUCUUUUUCAUCUUUUGCGUGAGCUUGUUCGGCCGGAUCCUGGAUCAUCGGAACCGCUGUUCACAACCCUUUCUAAGGUGCAACAUGAUACUCCCGUCAGUUAUAAUAGGAUGUUACCGGGGCCACAAGAAGAAGGCAAUCAUCGAUAGCACCUUGAUAACAACAUCCAAGGGAAAAAAGUGGACGGAUGGUGGACAUUGUUGAAGGGUUGAGCGAGUUCCAGGAAGAACAAUGAUUACCUGUAGUAAGCCGAUACGUGAUCCGGUACUGAGUAUCCGGUAGAUAACCCCGAAAUAUGUUUCAUCUCUCGCCGUAUAAUUUUAUCAUAAAAAUAUAAAUUCGAAUUGUAAACUAAAA